UAAACUUCCAAGAUUUCUCUCUUGGUUGUUCGUUUGGGGGUCGAAUCUUCGUUUCCUUCAGAGGCGCAGAUUUUGAUCCUUCCGAACAAUAUUGUAGUUCACUGGAAAUGCACGGCCGGCCGCACAAGCCUCAGAAGCCGGAGGAAGAAGGAGCUUCACCGGUGGAAGCUGGAAAGCUUCAAAAUCUACGAUCUCAAUUGCUAGCAAAUCACCACCAAAAGAACUAUGUGAUAAGGAAGCUCUAGAAGUCAGUGCUAGUUUACUGGAAAUGAAUCCGAAUCUAUUUACGGCUCGGAACAACACUACUUGAAGGAAUCUCCAUCAGACAAAAAGUCGAUGGAGCGAUUUUCAACGAGGAACUUAGAGUAGCUGAAAGUGCUAUGCGUCAGGACGUCAAGUCGGCGUGUGGUAUCAUCGAAAAUGGAUUUUGAGCAAGGAGCAUUCGUUCACCGAUCAGGAGUUGCGAACGCCAAGAAUUUUUGUGCAUGGAACUACAGAAGGUUGAUACGCGCUUGCAUUCUUCCGAUUCAAUCCCAGGCUGAUAGCCGCAGUUCACAUGUACAUUUUAAAGGUAACCUGUUAGCGUAUUUCUUUGUCCGUUCAUCAGAUUUGUUGGCAGGGCUAAUGAGCAUACACGAGGAGAAAGAACUGAAGUACACAACAGAUAUGAUAGACAGAAACUUCAACAAUUAUUCCGUCUGGCAAAAUCGCAGAUUGUUAAUGGCACAUGCCGCAUGCAACAUCUCCACACGCCAAUAAAAUGGAUGGUCCAGCUUGAGGAAGUUCUUGACCUUUACCGACCUGUCGAUGUUGGACCCACCACAUGUUCAUUACUACAGGGUUCAACACAUCUUGGUUUUAUUUGCAGAAGGUGAUACAAUUUCUUGCUAUCAAAUAAUACUUCUUUCCCGCUUGUCGCUGGGGAUUAUAAUCAUCGACUUUAACACUUGUUUUAUGUUUAUAUCGUUUUGUGUGCAUAAAUGAGAAAUUUCAUAUUGAAACUCCCCUCAGCCUUUUUAUCCCGUUACGAUGGACAUGUUAUGAUCGAAGAGAGAAUGACAUUCGGGUUUCUUUCACAUGUGACAUCGACUAAGCAGUUUUUGUCAGGACAUCGUUGUUCCUACAAAGAGCAGACAUCACCAUAUAUCGAUAGUACUACUUCCAUCUACGGCUCAAUAAUUUAUCAACUUCAAGGAUCGAAUCUAUACAAAAGAAAAUACCGCUGGGUGCUAAUGCUCGACCUCAACAACAAUGAACUUCGAUUAAUUGAAGGAUUGAAGGCCAUGCAACUCCUCUCUUGCUUGAGUUACUCUGGAGCCUCUCACCAAUUGAUUGGACCGUUCUGGCAAGUUACUGCAAAGCUUAUUUUCUAUUCACAGAUUUAAGCACGAAGCAAUUGGAUAUUGAAACAAACACGAUACCUAGUGAAAGGAUUAAAAGAAUACUUAUCUUGUUAUACCAAAUAUUGAAUGAUUGUAGGUUUAUUAGUGAAGAAUUGAAAUCAGAAAGAAAUGUCAUAUGGAAGGAGAAUUGAGAGGUGGAAGAAAGAUAGCCUAUUGCAAUGAGGUGCUAAGGAACUGAAAAGACCGAGACCAGAAAACAGGGAAGACCAAGGAAAAAUGAUAAUUCAUUCACUUCGCAGACAGACGGGUCCGUGAGAUAUGAAUGAUGCUAGGAAAGGAAAGGAAAGGACUUACUGAUUUUUGUAAUUUAAAAUCCAGUUUUUGUAGAAGAAAAGUCUAUUUCCAUGAUAGAUUUAAUUUUAUCCUAUUUCUAAGCCAGGUGAUCGUUUUUCUAUC